rnacentral:rRNA from 1 species
ACAGAGGGGGCAAGCGUUGUUCGGAAUUACUGGGCGUAAAGGGUGCGCAGGCGGUUCUGUAAGUCAGAUGUGAAAUCCCCGGGCUUAACCUGGGAAUUGCGUUUGAAACUACAGAGCUGGAGUGUGGCAGAGGGGGGUGGAAUUCCAUGUGUAGCAGUGAAAUGCGUAGAGAUAUGGAAGAACAUCGUUGGCGAAGGCAACCCCCUGGGUUAACACUGACGCUCAUGCACGAAAGCGUGGGGAGCAAACAGGA